rnacentral:rRNA from 1 species
CCAACUGUUGCCUCGGCGGGGUCGAGCCCCGGGUGCGUCGCAGCCCCGGAACCAGGCGCCCGCCGGAGGGACCAACCAAACUCUUUUCUGUAGUCCCCUCGCGGACGUUAUUUCUUACAGCUCUGAGCAAAAAUUCAAAAUGAAUCAAAACUUUCAACAACGGAUCUCUUGGUUCUGGCAUCGAUGAAGAACGCAGCGAAAUGCGAUAAGUAAUGUGAAUUGCAGAAUUCAGUGAAUCAUCGAAUCUUUGAACGCACAUUGCGCCCGCCAGUAUUCUGGCGGGCAUGCCUGUCCGAGCGUCAUUUCAACCCUCGAACCCCUCCGGGGGGUCGGCGUUGGGGACCUCGGGAGCCCCUAAGACGGGAUCCCGGCCCCCAAAUACAGUGGCGGUCUCGCCGCAGCCUCUCCUGCGCAAGUAUUUGCACAACUCGCACCGGGAGCGCGGCGCGUCCACUUCCCGUAAAACACCCCAACUUUCUAAAUGUUACUCCAUCGUU